AUGGCGCGCAGCUUGCGCAGGGACGAGCCGGGCCCGCUGUAGGGGUCCUCGAAGUCGCGGUCCUUCUGGGCGCGGUAGGCGCGGAGCAGGUCGCUGGUGUCGUCGCGCAGACGGCGGCGCGAGAAGCCGGGCGAGGUUCCUGCGCCUGCCGUCUGGAGAGGCCGUGGGACCUGCAGCCGCCACCUGCACAGUCUGAACUCUGAAUUCUCUGCUACCGCUACCUGUGUGUCCUUCUUCCCAUCCGUGGUGGGCUAGGAGGGUUCCAGCUGGCGCCUAAAAAUGUAAGGAAAUCAAAUACAGAGAUGAUGCUUGUGUGAAUCAUGCUGCUCAGCUUGUGUGUUGCCAGAAGGAUUUGUCAGCUGGACCACCACAGUCACAGCCACUUUUAAUCUUUCUCCAUCUGCCUGAAGGAAAUGCUGGAGACAUUGAAUGGAUGUUCAAAUGGGAACAGGAAUACCUGCAGGCUGAUCUCUCCAGGCCUGUCUCUGGCCUUUGCCACAAUGAAAAAGUUAAGCAAACAUAACUACUCAGAUGAUAGCUUGACCUGUAGUGCUUCAGUUGUGCAUUAUGAUCAGUGACAGGAGAGAUUUGUUGCAGUUUUGUUCUGUCUACACUGCAUGGUGGAACACAGUUUCAAGUGAAGAGUUAGAGAACGCCUCAUAAUUGCAUUUUAAAAAAAUCUUCUGCUAAUCAGAAUUCAGACAUGUCAAUAAAAGAAAUAAAAAAGUUUUUCAUUCCUCCAAUGCAAAUCUGUGACAAAGUUUUCCAGAGCUAUACCUUCAUGCAAAGCAUCAUUUCCCCAUUGUUUUAUCAAGUCCAUCAAUGCAGAGAGAUGAGCAAGAAGGAGAACUCUUUUCAUAUAGUUCCUAGUUUCACUAGGAGCUGUGGGUGUGCUCCUAAUAUGAUGUGCUGGUUUUGACUCAGGUACU